rnacentral:rRNA from 1 species
UAGGGAAUCUUCGGCAGUGGACGAAAGUCUGACCGAGCAACGCCGCGUGAGUGAAGAAGGUUUUCGGAUCGUAAAACUCUGUUGUUAGAGAAGAACAAGGACGUUAGUAACUGAACGUCCCCUGACGGUAUCUAACCAGAAAGCCACGGCUAACUACGUGCCAGCAGCCGCGGUAAUACGUAGGUGGCCAGCGUUGUCCGGAUUUAUUGGGCGUAAAGCGAGCGCAGGCGGUUUCUUAAGUCUGAUGUGAAAGCCCCCGGCUCAACCGGGGAGGGUCAUUGGAAACUGGGAGACUUGAGUGCAGAAGAGGAGAGUGGAAUUCCAUGUGUAGCGGUGAAAGGCGUAGAUAUAUGGAGGAACACCAGUGGCGAAGGCGGCUCUCUGGUCUGUAACUGACGCUGAGGCGCGAAAGCGUGGGGAGCAAACAGG